UACGAGGGGGGCAAAUGUUGUUCGGAAUCACUGGGCGUAAAGGGAGCGUAGGCGGGUUUCUAAGUCAGGUGUUUAAUCCCGGGGCCCAACCCCAGGACAGGCACUUGAAACUGGGAAUCUUGAAUAGUGGAGAGGUCAGUGGAAUUGGGGGUGUAGCGGUGGAAUGCGUAGAGAUCCCCAAGAACACCAGUUGCGAAGGCGGCUGACUGGACACAUAUUGACGCUGAGGCUCGAAAGCAUGGGGAGCAAACAGG
rnacentral:rRNA from 1 species